rnacentral:tRNA from 1 species
GGGAAUGUAAAUCAGUAGUAGAGUGCUUGCCUAGCAUGCAUGAGGCUCUGGGUUCCAUCCCCAGCACUGCCA